UUAUACUGGCAAAUAUUCCAAGAGCCGACCUUGCCUGAGAUGAGCUGACAAUAAAACCUCACUGCAGGGGAAGACAACUCCAAACAGAACCUCUGUCCCUGGCCCCUUGAAAUGAGUGCUGUGCCACAUUCAGCUGGGCCUGCUCUGUGCAGGCUGCUGCUCUAGGGUGAGCAAACAGAAUGGGAGAAAACAACCUGCAAACCAGCAGUGUGCUGAAGACAGAAAGAGCAAUUCCCAUAAAUUACAUGUAUUUGAGGAAUAUGUCUGCUCUGGGAAAUAAAGGCAACUUUGAAGGCAGCACUCCACUCCCAGGAGGGCAUCAAGGGUCUUUCUGCUGAAGACAAUAAAGGUGGUGACGCUGAAUGGAUUUGACAAUGAAGUAGAGUUGCAACAUGAGCAACUCCUGAAGUUAGGGAGAUAUUGGCAGCUUCUCAAGGAGGAUUCCAGGUGGUUGCUGUUCUGCCCUGAGUUCUUCAGAGGAAGGCACAGAGGAGGAACUCUGCUGCUCUGGGAUCAUGUGCUGCUGGAGAAGAAAUAAAACUGCCCUAAGGCAGGCUCACAGCCUAAAGGAAGACCUGGCAGGUGUCCAAAAUGUCUGUUCCCCUCUGCUCUCCUCAUGCUUCAUCAAUCACAUCACCUGUGUGUCAUGGUUGUCAGUGUGGAGAAAAAUAUUUGGAAUGUUCUGGUUUUCUUUUACGCUGGCAGGGUGGUUUGUUACUGGGAAAAAAAAGGUGCCUUUUUAUGGAUACUAGUUCCUUAAAUCAGGAAUAUCCACCUGGGAAGGGAGCCCACAGAAACAAACCCACUGUAGUAAAAGUCUGUGAAGCUCUGCAAUUUAUACUUUUUACAGGAAGUUGAAUAUGGAUAUGUUAAUCCACAUUAAUAUAGACAUGGUUACAUCAGUUCGACAGAAAGGUGAACCACGUUCAGAACAUCCAGUUUUUCAUACAUGCAGACCUGCUCUGGGUGCCAGGUGAGUCUUUGGAGCUGUGGAAGCUCUGACUCCAGAGAUUCAGCAGGACUCUCAUGGCUCUGGUUGCCAAUGACUGCUCCUCAAACAAGACACAGAACCUGAAUUCUUCACAGGAAAAGCCAGAAAACCCAAACAAGCCAGGCUUCCUGCUCUUGCAGAUGUCUCUAACCCAGCAAGAAGCAGAAGGAUAAGGAUACAAGCACCAUUUAUUUCCCUCCUCAGGCCACCUUUAAACACUGAUAGAGGCAGCAGUAGAGGAAAAAUCCUUGAAGCAGUUAAGAACAAGCCAGAGAAACUCAGCCUGCACCUUGUCUCCUGAAACCACCUCAGCUCUGGAGCACCAAGACACCAACAGAGCCUCAAGUCGAGGCUGAGUCGGAAGGGCAGCUGGGUCAGCACUGGCAUCCCUCACCUCAGAGCUGCUGAACUGAACACCCUCACACGAGUCUUUUCCUCUGGGAGGUGAUGAAAAAGCAGUGAGCACAGCCCUUGAUGUCCAGACUCCUCAACAGACCUUGGAUCACACUUCACCUUCCAGGCUGGAUGCUCUUGUUGCACGAGGAUUUCCUGAAGGAAUUUCUGGACAAUCUGGGGGUAGGAAAAAGGACGGUGCUGAUUUUGCUGUUACAUCAAAUCACUUGGCAGUGAAACAUCUGGCCUGAAGACACAAGCUGCUCUCCACAGUGAGCACGGAGUGAUGGCCAGAUGGAAAUGUGCCACCUUCCCAUGUCCCCCUGCACAUUCAGGGAAUGGCACGGCAAUUGCAGCCAGGCGUAAUUCCUGCCUGGAAUUCCUACUUGCCUGGAAUUCUUACCUGUGAUUUGUACCUGCCUGUGAGUCCUGCCUGUAAUCCCUGCCUGUAAUCCCUGCCUGUAAUUCCUGCCUGUGAUUCCUACCUGUGAUUCCUACCUUUACUCUUUCCUACCUGCCUGUAAUUCCUACCUACCUGAAAUUCCUGCCUGUGAUUCAUACCUGUAAUUCCUGCCUGUGAUUCCUACCAGCCUGUAAUUCCUACCUGCCUGUAAUUCCUGACUGCCUGUAAUUCCUGCCUGUGAUUCCUACCUGGAAUUCCUGCCUAUAAUUCCUACCUGCCUGUAAUUCCUGACUGCCUGUGAUUCCUACCUGGAAUUCCUGCCUAUAAUUCCUACCUGCCUGAUUCCUACCUGUGACUCCAAGCUUUACUUUUUCCUACCUGCCUGUAAUUCCUACCUGUGAUUCCUGCCUGUCAUUCCUGCCUGUACCUCCUGCCUAUAAUUCCUGUCUGUAAUUCCUGCCUGUGAUUCCUGCCUGCAGCAGUGGGGCUGGAGCAGCUGGGGCAGCACAUCCCGUGGGCGGCUGCCUGGCAGGGGAGCAGUGGGAAUCAGGCACUCAGCACAUCCCUGCCUCUGGCUGAGCAGCUGUGUGGGUGUGCACCCUGUGGGUGUCUCAGACUCGUUCAUAAAGCUGAGGGUGUGAAUAAACCUGAGCUGCCAUGGCAUGGUGCUCCUGCUGCUGCAUUCACUGGCAGCAGGAGCUGGUGAGAGAGGGGGGCUGUGGAUGCAAAAAACCUCAAUCCUCCUGCCAUCUUUACCUUCUGCUUCCAUCUCACUGGGAAUCAAAUGAAUUUACGGUGUUUUAACUGGAGGAUAUUUUGAUUGAAGUUUCUCUUUAGAAGGACAAAUAAGUCUUGAUCUUGUGAUUAAGAAGGUACAAUAAAGGAAUUAAAAAAAGA